AGAGACAGCAGUCGCCGCGGUAAUACGUAGGGUGCAAGCGUUAAUCGGAAUUACUGGGCGUAAAGCGUGCGCAGGCGGUUAUAUAAGACAGAUGUGAAAUCCCCGGGCUCAACCUGGGAACUGCAUUUGUGACUGUAUAGCUAGAGUACGGCAGAGGGGGAUGGAAUUCCGCGUGUAGCAGUGAAAUGCGUAGAUAUGCGGAGGAACACCGAUGGCGAAGGCAAUCCCCUGGGCCUGUACUGACGCUCAUGCACGAAAGCGUGGGGAGCAAACAGGAUUAGAUACCCGUGUAGUCCCUGUCUCUUAUAC
rnacentral:rRNA from 1 species